UCACCGGGCACUCAGUGUGGUGCAUCUAUUUCAGAGAGGGACUUCUGGGCGAGAUGGAAACCGAGAGCCUGCCUGGCACACGGACACUCGCCGCCCCAAGCUGCCUUCCCUCCUGCUGCAAAUGGAUACAGGAGCCUCCUUCCCCUGCCUGUCCUAACCUGUGGUCUGGUCAAACAGUGGCUGCACCCCACCCCAGAGGUGGCUGCAUUUCAGUGGAUUGGGCCCUCCAGGACAGCCAGCGCCCAGCCAACUGCCCUUUGGAGAACAAGCUUGGGGGUGUAUGGCCCCUUUAAGGGCUGGUGGGGGCUGCGUCACCCACAGAUGCCUGACGAUGGCCCUGGCCCCAAGUUCUCCUGUGACUUCAGCGUGGCCAGCGAUGGAGAAUGCAGCCGCCCCUCGGGCAAUGGGCGUGACUGACCGGUGCCUGGCCGGGCGGGCGCCCUCUGCCAGCACCACCCCAUCACGGACCCAUCUUCCCCCCGGCAGCGGCUGGAGGCUGAG